rnacentral:rRNA from 1 species
CACGGUUUMUUUYAAGYCAUGCGRGCUCUARGUAGCAAUACCGGCGWAAUGCUCAGUAACACGUCRAUAAUCUGCCCUUAGAUCMGGAAUAUCCUUGGGAAACUGAGACUAAAACCUGAUAGGGUAUAAGRAUCUGGAAAGACCUUUACUUUAAAAGCAAUGUCUAAGGAUGAGUCGGCGSUGGAUUAGGUAGUUGGUGAGGUAACGGCUCACCAAGCCAAAGAUCCGUAGGGGCCUUGGGAGAGGGAGCCCCGAGAAGGGCACUGAGAAACUGGCCCUAGCCCUAAGGGGUGCAGCAGGCGCGAAAACUUUACAAUGCACGCAAGUGUGAUAAGGGAACUCUAAGUGCUUAUACACAGUAUAGGCUUUUGCCAAGAUGCAAAAAGUUUGGCGAAUAAGUGGUGGGUAAGACGGGUGCCAGCAGCCGCGGUAACACCCGCGCCACGAGUGGCAAUCGAUUUUAUUGGGCCUAARGCGUCCGUAGCUGGUCUGGAAAAUCUCUUGUGAAAAUGUUGAGCUUAACUUAACAAAGUGCUGGAGACACUUCCAGACUCGGAACCUGGUAGGGGUCAGAAGUAUGUUAGGGGUAGCGGUAAAAUGUUAUAAUCCCUAAUASACUACCUGUGGMGMAGGCGUCUGACUAGGACGGAUUCGACAGUGAGGGACGAAAGCCAGGGGAGCGAUCCRGAUUASAUACCCGAGUAGUCCUGGCUGUAAACGCUGCGAGCAAGGUGUUGCAUAUUCUUCGUGAAUGUGCAGUAUCGAAGAGAAGUCGAUAAGCUCGCCGCCUGGSAAGUAUGGUCGCAAGACUGAAACUUUAAAGGAWUUGGCGRGKGAGCACCACAASGSGUGCGRMUGUGCGGAUUUAAUUCAWUUCWACGCKGGAMAYCUCACCAGAKGCSACGGCAGGAUGAAAGUCAGUCUGAAGGKCUUACCUAAYGAGYCGARAGGYGRUGCAUGGCCAAUSUCUAGASKUC